rnacentral:lncRNA from 1 species
UACCAAAAGUGUUGAUUUAAUGACAUAAAUUUAUGUAAUCUUAUAUGAGACAUAUAAUCAUUUUGAUGGAAAUUGAAGGUGGGUGCAUCUUGACAUUCCGAACAUGUUUGUCUGGUCAGAUUGAUACAUCUUAUCCCUGUGUUCUUGUCUUUAUGUUCAAUUUGGGUCAAUUGACAAGAAAAGAAAUAGCUACAUUAAGGAUUAUUAACCUCAGAGGAGAUGUUGUAAAAAUUUACAAUGUGAGAUGGACAUAUCAUUUGAACUAUGGUGGUAAGUUGUCUCAUUGGCAAUCAUACCAUAUCUCCUUAUCUUUAUACAAUAUUUUUUUUAUCAACCUAUUUUAAGUGAUGACCAAGACUGAGUGUUUGAUAAAAAGGCAAAAUAAAAAAAAUACGGAACUCCGAGGAAAAUUCAAAACAGAAAGUCUGUAAUUAAAUGACAAAAUCAAAAUUAAGCUCAAACACACCAAACGAAUGAAUAACAACUGUCAUAUUCCUUACAUUUUGGAAUAGGCAUUUUCUGAUGUAGAAAAAGGAGGAUUGAACCUGGUUUUAAAGCUAGCUAAGCUUCUCACUUGUAUGACAUUUGCAUAAAAGAGGGACGAAAGAUACCAGAGGGACAGUCAAACUCAUAGAUUGAAAAUAAACUGACAACACCAUGGCUAAAAAUAAAAAGACAAACAAACAAAUAAUAGUACAGAAAACACAACAUAGAAAACUAAAGAUUAAGCAACACGAACACCACCAAAAACUGGGGGUGAUCU